rnacentral:lncRNA from 1 species
AGUGCUGUUUUGGUUUGGCAGAGUUUCUUUUAGUUUUAUACUUCCUCAAGAGUUGUCAUCUGCUCCAUGAAUCAAAGAGGACACUAUGUGGCAGUUUUGACUUUUAGCACAAUGGAAGUGUGAGUUCUCAUUUGCUAAGGAGAAGAAAGAAGAAGGAAGAAG